rnacentral:rRNA from 1 species
GACGAACGUUGGCGGCGUGCUUAACACAUGCAAGUCGAACGGAAAGGCCCUGCUUUUGUGGGGUGCUCGAGUGGCGAACGGGUGAGUAACACGUGAGUAACCUGCCCUUGACUUUGGGAUAACUUCAGGAAACUGGGGCUAAUACCAGAUAGGAGCUCCUGCUGCAUGGUGGGGGUUGGAAAGUUUCGGCGGUUGGGGAUGGACUCGCGGCUUAUCAGCUUGUUGGUGGGGUAGUGGCUUACCAAGGCUUUGACGGGUAGCCGGCCUGAGAGGGUGACCGGCCACAUUGGGACUGAGAUACGGCCCAGACUCCUACGGGAGGCAGCAGUGGGGAAUAUUGCACAAUGGGCGGAAGCCUGAUGCAGCAACGCCGCGUGCGGGAUGACGGCCUUCGGGUUGUAAACCGCUUUCGCCUGUGACGAAGCGUGAGUGACGGUAAUGGGUAAAGAAGCACCGGCUAACUACGUGCCAGCAGCCGCGGUGAUACGUAGGGUGCGAGCGUUGUCCGGAUUUAUUGGGCGUAAAGGGCUCGUAGGUGGUUGAUCGCGUCGGAAGUGUAAUCUUGGGGCUUAACCCUGAGCGUGCUUUCGAUACGGGUUGACUUGAGGAAGGUAGGGGAGAAUGGAAUUCCUGGUGGAGCGGUGGAAUGCGCAGAUAUCAGGAGGAACACCAGUGGGCGAAGGCGGUUCUCUGGGGCCUUUCCUGACGCUGAGGAGCGAAAGCGUGGGGAGCGAACAGGCUUAGAUACCCUGGUAGUCCACGCUGUAAACGGUGGGUACUAGGUGUGGGGUCCAUUCCACGGGUUCCGUGCCGUAGCUAACGCUUUAAGUACCCCGCCUGGGGAGUACGGCCGCAAGGCUAAAACUCAAAGGAAUUGACGGGGCCCCGCACAAGCGGCGGAGCAUGCGGAUUAAUUCGAUGCAACGCGUAGAACCUUACCUGGGUUUGACAUGGAUCGGGAGCGCUCAGAGAUGGGUGUGCCUCUUUUGGGGUCGGUUCACAGGUGGUGCAUGGCUGUCGUCAGCUCGUGUCGUGAGAUGUUGGGUUAAGUCCCGCAACGAGCGCAACCCUUGUUCACUGUUGCCAGCACGUUAUGGUGGGGACUCAGUGGAGACCGCCGGGGUCAACUCGGAGGAAGGUGGGGAUGACGUCAAGUCAUCAUGCCCCUUAUGUCCAGGGCUUCACGCAUGCUACAAUGGCUGGUACAGAGAGUGGCGAGCCUGUGAGGGUGAGCGAAUCUCGGAAAGCCGGUCUCAGUUCGGAUUGGGGUCUGCAACUCGACCUCAUGAAGUCGGAGUCGCUAGUAAUCGCAGAUCAGCAACGCUGCGGUGAAUACGUUCCCGGGGCU